GACGAACGCUGGCGGCGUGCUUUACACAUGCAAGUCGAACGCUGAAGCUUGGUGCUUGCACUGGGUGGAUGAGUGGCGAACGGGUGAGUAAUACGUGAGUAACCUGCCCUUGACUCUGGGAUAAGCCUGGGAAACUGGGUCUAAUACUGGAUACGACAUGUCACCGCAUGGUGGUGUGUGGAAAGGGUUUUACUGGUUUUGGAUGGGCUCACGGCCUAUCAGCUUGUUGGUGGGGUAAUGGCUCACCAAGGCGACGACGGGUAGCCGGCCUGAGAGGGUGACCGGCCACACUGGGACUGAGACACGGCCCAGACUCCUACGGGAGGCAGCAGUGGGGAAUAUUGCACAAUGGGUGGAAGCCUGAUGCAGCGACGCCGCGUGAGGGAUGACGGCCUUCGGGUUGUAAACCUCUUUCAGCACGGAAGAAGCGAAAGUGACGGUACGUGCAGAAGAAGCGCCGGCUAACUACGUG
rnacentral:rRNA from 1 species